rnacentral:misc_RNA from 1 species
UCUAUUUUGAGGGGGUAUAGUUUAGAAUUAUGUUAAGCAUGUUGGUGCCUAUUUCUUCGCAAAACUGCAGUCGAUUAUUGUAAAGUGCAUUUUGGGGGUUUGGGGGGCUGUAGAGGGUCGUGGGUUGAACUUGGGGGUUUGUGCCCCUUGAGACUUUCGAUCAGCAUGUUGAAAGCUACCCCUAUGCAAAAUUUCAGCCAAUUUAGCCGAGAGCCAUUUUCCAUACAAAUUGUGCGGGGUCCUUUAUUUUAUGCUUAGUUAUGUAAAUUGUGUGCUGGUGCUUAUGUUCUUUUAAUCUUUAUUAUCGUGUUACCUAUAAAAACUAGAUUAUAAGUGAAUACUAAAAUUAUGAAAGAGAGAUUAAGGGUGUAGCUUGUAUUUUAUUUAAAAAUAAGCAAAUUUUAAAAUUUAUGUAAAUUUUAAAACGUUAUUUUUCAUAUUCAAAAUGGCUGAUGUUAAUCUCUUUCUAUUAUCAGAAUCUCUAUUAUUGUGUUACAGAAAAUAUGGUAUGGAAAAUAUGGUAGCUGAAACAUAUUGUCAUUUUAAAACACGGUAGCUAAAUCAUGUUAUGUCAAUUCACCAAGUCCACCAUUUAUAGAAAUAAAUAUUGGUUAAUAAAACAAAAAUUACUUACAUUACAUAUUUUAUUUUAACAAAAUUUUAAAAUUAGGGACCCCUCUUUAAACUUUAAGAUAUAGACAUAGAAUUAAAACCAGAAAAUAUUUUUGACACAAAAGUCCAAAGUAAAAUAAAGUAUUUAUAGUAGUACCCAGUCAUAAAUAAUGCACAUCCGAGCUUUGCAAAGAGGCUAUCGGCUUAUUUCGAUUUUGUAGCGAGUUAGAGUCCAUGAACCUUGCUUAUUUUCCGAUUGACAAAAUAUAUAUAGUAGUAUGAAGAGUUACGAAAAUAUUUCGUACGGAUUUCAACAUAUUGAUCUUACACUAUCAGAUCAGUCACAUGAAAUACUGAAUUACUGAUAGUCAUACGUCACGUAGGUCAUGCGCGUCAGAGGCAACGCUUCACGAAGUUUAAAUUAGCAGAUUUUCUCUUUCCAAAGGUCGAUGUGUAUUUUUUAUGAUGGGAUACUGUGUACAGAUUUGUGAAAGUCAAAAUACAGUUACAUAAAAGAGACAAUAUAUACAACUGCUAUAAUGUAAUUUUAACUGCAAACAAUAAUAUCUAGUUGUAUUGUUACAUAUUAAAACAAAAACGCAGUUAAAUAGGUCUUUUUGUAUAGGAUAACAAAAAACUACAAAAUGAUCAGUAUUGACGUUUCAAUUCCUUAUUCACCACGCAGUUUAAAGACUAAAACUAAUAAGUUACCUUUUAGAAGUUUACACAAAUCAAUACUAAUGAAUUCUUCUAAACCAUGUGAUGCUACCUACUUAAAUUAAUAACUAGUACAGACAUUAAUUUUUUUAUUAUUUUUGUAUGUGAAUUACCGCGACGGUUAAAAAUUAAGUAAAACAUUUCCAUUCUUAAAAAUGAAAUUCGAUUUAAUGGUCAGAGAUGUAGUGGCAAUCUAUUAACAUAGCUUUGCAAAAAAAUGGCUAUGUAAACAUUGUAAUAUAUUGUUGUGAUAUAAGUUUUUAAUUUUUAUUUUGCAUGAAAGCAAGAAGAAAUAAAUCAAAGAAAGAAAAAAAUAAAUUCAAGCAUAUUGUGUCUAGUUAAUUUUUCGUAAAAGUAGCUACAAGACAAAAUUUAAUUUAUUACACUAUCAAAUAUAAAACCUUACACUUAUUUCAGCAUUAUUCUGGACUAGUCUAGCAAUGAUAAAAUGGUAAAACAUGUUAUUUAAUUAUCAUACUUUGUAUACUGUAUGUAGUUAAACCUACUCAAUAAGUAUUUUUUUUCUAUUACAUAAUCCAGAGUAAGGCGUUAAAUUCAAUACAAUCCAUAUAAUAUUCAUGGAACCUACAACAUUAUAUAUAUAUUAAUAUUGGAACCCAUUCCAAAAACAAUUAUAUGAUCUUCAUAAGUUAUUUAAAUUAUACUCCUUAUGGUCUGAACAAAUAAUAAAAGCUUCUGACUGUAAUUCAUAUAAUUGCAAUUUCUAUGACUCUUGAUUUCAUAACAAUGCUUUAUUGAAUAUUUAUUAAGUAAGGCAAAAAUCUUUACAUACUCUGAAAUCUGAAUCAAGGUCAUUGACACGCUAUUUAAAGUAUUUGAUGUUAAAGACUUAUCACAGUUAAUUCUUCUUUUGAAAUUGUCAUAGUAUUUUAACUAUUAAAAAUACAUAGACUAAGAAAAGUUAAAUUAAAAUCUUGAAGCAUAGCCAAGUACCCAGGUCUCUAGCAUGGAAGAACUUUAUAUUUUUACAUAAACUUGUCAACUUUGUCAAUGAUAUUCGACAACUCUUGAAAAAGUUGCUUCAUUUAAGGCUUAACAAUAAAGAUUUAAUCCAAAACAUUUAGGACAAAUAAGUUAUAAAUAUGCUGUGCAAAUUAUAUUAUAUUAGUGAUCGCUACAAGUCGCCGUUACUAGGAGAAACGUACGGUCCAUUUAUGCGUAAGUCAAUGAAAUUACCUUUAAGUUUAGCAUUCUUAUAUUUUAAAUGAGACGCUCAACGGAAGAGUGAUCAAUUUGUACAUAAUAUAGUUAUUUACCAAAUCGAUUUUAUAUUCAGAUACCAGUCAUAUGUCAUUACUUAUUAGUAAUAGUCUAGGAUCCUGGGUCUAUUUUUGUACUUGACUACUUAUGAAGAUAAUUUUCUGUGAGCAGCUUCAUUUUGAUGAGACGCCCAACAAUUUCCUGUACGAAAACACUCGAUUGUGGUAGAUAAUUGAGGUAGCGGGGAUAAAAUAUGUUGAGUUGGUGAGUCUCAAAAAUGUAUUACUAAUUGGAUAUUUUUGGUUAAAUCAGAUGAUAAUUAUCUAAACUAUUAAAAAAAAAUAUUUGUCCUACAAAAUGUAUGGUUUGAUCAGAGUCCCCUCCUUCAUACGUGUGUCUGUAGGUGUGGGGACAGGUAUGUAUGUAAUGUCUGUGUGUAUAUGUGAGUGUAUAAAUACAUUAAAAAUAAAAAAGUAAGUUUAAAUUUGCCACCAAUAAAACAAGAAUAGGUACAACAAAUUACAAGAGCUGCGUUCAUCUACUAUAUAUGGUUUAUGCACACAUGCAGUGCCCCACGGAAAAAUUGCCAAAAUAUUUUAGAUGGACAAUAACUGAAGUCCAUCUUUUGAAGAAUUAUAUAUUAUAUUGACAUACAAGGUAUUCAUACUAUUAUUAUUUAUUGAUAGAUUAUUCAUUAUUAUAAUUAAUAAUAAAUAGACACUUCACACUCAGCGACCCCCAGUAGGAUUUUCUCCUGUGUUGGGGGUCCCGAAACAGCCCGCCAGCGCAAUAGCCAGUGCUAUGACCGCUGCACCAAUGCGUCAUAUACGGGUAUAUAAUUUUUCUUAAUUUAUUAAUGUUAUUAUAGAGUCAGAUAUUACGAAUGAGAAAAAUGAAGAUAACAGCGAUGUUAGUAGCAAAGAUAGUGAAGAUUUAUCAGAUGAAUCUGAUGAAUAUUAAUUUGUGUUAUAUAUAUACACAAAUUUUUGUACCUAUUUUACUAAAAAAUAAAGUUAUUUAAAUUUUAAAAAAGAUGUUUUCACUGUAUAGGAAGUCAAAAAAAUGACAAUUCUUGUCAGACUAGUGAUACAUACCUGUUUUCUUGUAGAACAUUGUUUCGUUUGGUCAGAAAACACACUAACCCAUUAUGUAAUAUUUUUUCUACUGUUUGUAAUGAGAAAAGUUGUCUUGAGGUAUUAACAAUUUCUGAGCGUAGGAACCGGAAUAACGUACCAAGCAAUUUGUAGGACAAUAUGACUGUUAAAUUAUAUAAAUAUUAACUAUAUAAUAUUACAUACAUGUUGAAGGAGGGGACAAAAUGUUUUGAACAAACCAACACUUUGUAGGACAAAUAAUUUAUCGAGUAAUUUAGAUAAUUAUCAUCAGAUUUAACAAAAAAAACCUAGUUAGUAAUACAUUUUUGAGAAUCAUCAACUCAACAUAUUUUAUCCCCGCUACCCCUAUUACCUCCCACAAUCGAGAGUUUUGAGUGUCUCAUCAAAAUGAGGCUAGUUACGGAAAAUUAGCUUGAUAGUAAUCAAGUGCAAAAAUGGACCCGGGAUCCUAGACUAUGAUGAUAAAUCAAAUAAUUUAAGCAAAAUAUUGUCUUGUUAAAAACUCAAACUAUGAAUGUUUAAUUGCAUAGCUAUGUCAUAAUAAUCUCCUGCUAUUUUCACUUUUCAAAAACUGUUUUUAUUCUCUUGGCUGUUAUUCAUCAAAUUACGAAAUACAAAAAAAUUAAUAUUUAUGAAUGUUUUUUUUUUGCGUAUUAUUUAUAUAUUUUGAUUUAUUAUGCCUUUUAGCCCAGGCUCAGAUUCGGUUUCUUUUCUAAAAUCCCAGGAUUAAUAUAAUAGUUCUGUAAUAUAUUUUUUAAUCACCAAAAAAGUAUUUUCCUUUAAAUACAUUUUAUUGCAUAUCUAUUUUUUAUUAAAGUAAGGUAAACUUUUUGUCAAUACCUAUAUAGAAAAAAAAAGGGAUUUGCUAAUUUUAACUUAAAGCUCUAUUUUUAAAAUGAAUUCGAAUCAAUUUUCCUCUAAGCGCCCCAUAUAUAAACAAAUUCUACACAUGUAAAAAACAACAAAAGGAUUUCAGACGACCAGACACUUGGGGCUCUUAAAUUAUGAUAACUGGACCCUGGAUUUUGACAUGUCUGACAGGUCGCAAUCAGUCGCGUCUCCGCUCGCGCGACGAAGAGCGAUGAGAUCUGCUACGACGGUGAUCGCGUUCGCGAUCUCUGUCUCGACCGCGUGACUUCUCGCGAGAACCCUCCCGCUUGCUCUUGCUGCGUGAACGACUACGUCUGUAAUUAACAGAUAUGCUAUUCAAAUAAAUGUUAUUUUACUAUAGACAAUUAGCUAUAUAGUGCUUGACUCCUAACUACGUUCCUUCAUAUGGGGGGUGGUACUGUAGCUGUUCUAGAUCACAUUCCACGUGGAAAAAAAGUAUUUUUAAAAUUUUACUUUGUUUUAUAAAACUAUUCUGGUAACGUACUUCUGCAUAACCAACCAAUAAUUUUUUUUUUAAUUCCUAAAAAACGUCGAUAAAGUGAAAUAUUAAUAUUGACUGUCGCAUACAACUAAAGAACGAAUUCUUUGUCUUGUAGAUUGUUUCUCCUGUUAAAUUAUAACCGUGCUUAAGCGCUUACGUAAGGUAUCAUACGAAACGAG